UGAUCCUGGCUCAGGAUGAACGCUAGCGGCAGGCCUAACACAUGCAAGUCGAGGGGGAACAGAGGUAGCUUGCUACUUGCUGACGACCGGCGCACGGGGGAGUAACGCGUAUACAAUUUACCUUUUACAGGAGAAUAGCCCAGAGAAAUUUGGAUUAAUGCUCCAUGGUAUUAUAGAAUCACAUGUUUACGAUAUUAAAGAUUACGGUAAAAGAUGAGUAUGCGUCCUAUUAGCUAGAUGGUAAGGUAACGGCUUACCAUGGCAACGAUAGGUAGGGGCCCUGAGAGGGGGAUCCCCCACACUGGUACUGAGACACGGACCAGACUCCUACGGGAGGCAGCAGUGAGGAAUAUUGGGCAAUGGAGGCAACUCUGACCCAGCCAUGCCGCGUGCAGGAAGACUGCCCUAUGGGUUGUAAACUGCUUUUAUACAGGAAGAAACAGCUCUACGUGUAGAGCCUUGACGGUACUGUAAGAAUAAGGAUCGGCUAACUCCGUGCCAGCAGCCGCGGUAAUACGGAGGAUCCAAGCGUUAUCCGGAAUCAUUGGGUUUAAAGGGUCCGUAGGUGGAUAAUUAAGUCAGAGGUGAAAUCCUGCAGCUCAACUGUAGAAUUGCCUUUGAAACUGGUUAUCUUGAGUCAUUAUGAAGUGGUUAGAAUGUGUAGUGUAGCGGUGAAAUGCAUAGAUAUUACACAGAAUACCGAUUGCGAAGGCAGAUCACUAAUAAUGUACUGACACUGAUGGACGAAAGCGUGGGUAGCGAACAGGAUUAGAUACCCUGGUAGUCCACGCCGUAAACGAUGGUCACUAGCUGUUUGGACUUCGGUCUGAGUGGCUAAGCGAAAGUGAUAAGUGACCCACCUGGGGAGUACGUUCGCAAGAAUGAAACUCAAAGGAAUUGACGGGGGCCCGCACAAGCGGUGGAGCAUGUGGUUUAAUUCGAUCAUACGCGAGGAACCUUACCAGGGCUUAAAUGUAAGUUGCAUUAGUUAGAGAUAGACUUUCUCUUCGGAGCUACUUACAAGGUGCUGCAUGGUUGUCGUCAGCUCGUGCCGUGAGGUGUCAGGUUAAGUCCUGCAACGAGCGCAACCCCUAUUCUUAGUUGCCAGCGGUUCGGCCGGGGACUCUAAGAAGACUGCCAGCGCAAGCUGAGAGGAAGGUGGGGAUGACGUCAAAUCAUCACGGCCCUUACGUCCUGGGCUACACACGUGCUACAAUGGUAGAGACAGAGGGCAGCCACCUGGUGACAGGGAGCGAAUCCUUAAACUCUAUCUCAGUUCGGAUCGAAGUCUGCAACUCGACUUCGUGAAGCUGGAAUCGCUAGUAAUCGCAUAUCAGCCAUGAUGCGGUGAAUACGUUCCCGGGCCUUGUACACACCGCCCGUCAAGCCAUGGAAGCCGGGGGUACCUAAAGUCAGUAACCGUAAGGAGCUGCCUAGGGUAAAAUUGGUAACUAGGGCUAAGUCGUAACAAGGUAACC
rnacentral:rRNA from 1 species